GGGACCUUUUAGUUCAGGUUCAGUCGUGUUCGUAACGUCGUCGAGUUGAAACCGAAAAAGCUAGGCAGUUUCUCACAGCUACAUAUACAUAUGAGCAGGCAGCAGCAGCAGCGGCAGAGCAGAGAGCAAAUCGGUGCAAUCUUGAAUACGGAAGUCUAAUCCAAUUUGGCCUAUGACAAUACAAACGCACUUUCUUCGCUACGCAUUGUCCAGGUGCGUGUGCGUAUAGAGAGAGCGAGCGAGAGGGAUAGCGGACGAGCAAGCGAGAGGUUAAAUAUUUAGGUUUAACAGCCAGGCGCGUGUGUGUGACCCAUGAGAAGUUGUUGAAAAUAAUCAACGCCAAUCGCCGGAGAACGAAAGCAGAGAAACCCCUACGCGCGCGUGUUUAAUUUGUAUUUUUGGCACUUUGGUUGGCAAACAGCAAAAGCAUUUCCCUAUGAUUGGCUCAUUCUGGAAUCUGUGCAGAGCGUGCCCAUCAAUGCCGGUAGACAAGCUCCACUCGGAGUAUCGGAGCACUUAUCGCUGGCAUGAAUUUACGGGCAACUCGCGGCCAGAGGUUGUGCGACGGGCGCCUGCCCCAAACCCAAGUCAAUUUGUUGGAGCGACAAAUGAACCGCCAUUGCCGCGCCGGAAAAAAUGCCCAGAAUUAGCAUAUAAAUCGCACGAGUUCAUUAUAGGAUCGGAGUAUACAGAUGGACGCCGGGAUGCCAGUGCACAUCGUUUGGCGAGAUCGGAGGAGCGCGGUGGCACACCCUCGCGCCGCAGCAAAUCGGAGGGACCACCCGUUGUGCCCAAUGGACGUGCGUAUCCCAUUGCCACGGAGAUCGACGGAACCACAAGAAAACAGGCGGCUACUCUACAUGAGUUGGAGCCCUUGGUUAGCGAUACGGAUGAUAGAAAAACGCACGAGAAACAAGUGACCAUUGUGGAGCGCAAGAUCACCUCGCGUCCGUUUUCGCAGGCCAUCGACCAGGAGCGUCUGAACCACUUCAUCACGAAAAAGGAGAACUUUGGCUUCGCCGAUGCCGCCGUGGCCGCCGCGGCCCUUAAGGACGAGGUGGACAACAGGCAGCAAGUGGUGGUCAUGAACGGCUCCGCCCCGCCGCACUCGAAACCGAAUUUGGAUUUGUGGUUCAAGGAGAUGGUGGAGCUGCGCAAGAAGGCCGGCGAAUACAAGUGUCGUGGUUGGGGCAUAGAAAUUGACCCGGAAUUGUACAAGAAACAGAAGGAUCUAUGGGAUCAGGUUUCAAAGCGCAGCUCACUUUCGGCACUUUCUUUAGCUUCGUCUGUUCACAGACCCAUUACAAAGGAGGAGAAAGAACAGGAGAACAAUAAGAAGUCCACACCAUUGGAGAAGGCCCAGAAGCCUCGUGUUCCUGGCCAAGCCUUUUUGAUUGAUAAUAAGGAUGAGAUUUCAGCACUGCCAGCACGCUUUAGCAAUAUACGCCAUCAUCUUGAACGCACCACGGGUCCGGAUGUGGAAGAGGGCGCUUUAUUGCCCUCGCCCACGCGCGAGAAGUUGAUGCCGGCUAUUACCAAGCGGGAAUCGGAAUCCCAACGAGGAAGUCCUAAGAAAACCGCCUUGUCCAGGCAUGGAUCGCCCCAGAAGGGCAGUCCACAAAAGGGCAGCCCCAAGAAGGUCCUUAAAACCCGGUCGCAAUCGGCGGGUCCGGGCGUUGCUGAGAAUGAGUCACCGAAGCGGCAGAUCCGGUCGGCGAGUCAGGCGCCCAGCAGCCGUAAAAAGACGCCGACAACCGGAAGCGGAAGCGAACGCAAGGCACGCCCAUCCACCCUAUCCACAACAUUCCAAUCCCGCAUUAAAAGUAGUUCCUUGCCACCGCCAAACGGUAGAGUAGCCUCAGCGCCGCCAGCCACUGCAGCAGCAGCAGCAUCAGCAUCAGCAGCCAAAUCAGCAUUAAACGCUAAUCAGGCUCAUGCUAAUCAAUCACAAUCAUCACAUGCCAAGAGCGGUAGCAUCAGCGGCAGAGUUUCAAAACCAUCGGCCACAUCCGCCCAACAACAGCAUCAGCAACAGCAACAGCAAAUGCGUAAGAAAGACAAAGAUAGAUCGAAUAGUAGUUGCAUUGGCAGUGGUAGUCAUGUUGGUGCUGGUAGCGGUAGUCAAGCAAAUAGUGUCAAGCAUCUGCAGAAUAAGCAAAAGCAACAACAACUACAGCAGCAACAGCAACAGCAACAACAAAAGCAACAACACCAAGCGCAACAGCAACCGCAACAGCAAAAGCAAAAGCAGCAGCAUCUCGAUGUUGCAGCAGCAGCAACAGCAGCAGCAACAUCGUCAUCUUCCCAAAACCCAACCCGGCCUGCCACCAUCAACAUCAAACGGCUCACGGUACCAGGUCAGGAUAGAAAAUUGGCUGAAAACGAAGGCGAGGAUGGUCGUGAGACUGCCAUUUCCAUUUCCAGCUGCAGUCCCCAACCCCCGGUGCAGGAGGUGCCCGAAGAGCCCCUGGUGAAGUCCCCACCAGAACCGACCCGGGUCAAGUCCCCAGAGCAGAUUAUAAUGCGCUCCCCCGAUCCAGUCAACUGGACGGUGCCCCUGGACACUGGCAAAACGUUUACGGUGACGCAGAAUGUUAAAGACGGGGAGAACUACAGCCGACCUCAGAGCGAGAUUAAAGCCUCGACACCGGUGGAGAAGCCCCCACCGCCACCACAAUCGGCUCCGCCACAACUAACCGAACAGGCUAAGAUGGACGCCUGGAAGUCCUGCAGUCCAAGCACCAGCGCCGCGAUCUACGGCAAAACGCUUACGCCCCAUGCCACACCCACCGGCCAGCCGGGCGGGGCGGUGCGCUGCACAGUCGCCCAAGAUCAGCCGCUUCAGCAGCCGGAUCCGGCGAUGUCGUCCUCCUCGUCGACGGGCACAGCUUCUACGGCCAGGACAGCUGCCGCCGAGGUCCUGGAGAAGGCUCGCGACCGAUUUGAUCGAUUCUGGGGCAACAGCAGCGCCAACAAGGAGGAGAGCGUCUAGAUCCCAGCUCCAAAAACCGAGAUCCUGGAUCCCAGAUCAGGCACUCAGUGCUUUUCAAGUGCAAAAUGUAUUCCCCGGGCAAUUAAUUGGCCCCUGAAAGCAAUUAUAAUACGUAAUAGAUGUUAUGCAAUACCUAAUCAUGUACACCAUCUAUCCUAUCUAAGAGCCUGAUUACACUGCAACACAGCUCUCCAUUUACAUUAAUUUACUGUAUGUAAUUAAAUCAAUUGGGUUUUUUCCUUAAUGUUUGAGUUCCAUUAUUAUUCGCACCUUUCAAAUUGAAUGUUACAUAUAAAAUCAGUUAUUAUUUUGAACCGUUACAUUCGAUAAAGUACCUUAGUAUUUUUUGUAUGUAUGAUAUUGUUAGUCAAUCCGAAAAUCAAUGGUGUUAUCCUUUUUUCUAUUAUAUUGUAAUUUUGGAUAAGUGUGUCGUAGUGAAAUCAAAACAUUAAGGGAGUCCCGCAAGAACUGGCUUGAAUUUGAAGCUAAAUUCGCUUUUGGUUUCCUAGUUAAGCUGCUGCAAGCAAACCUAAUCAGGCCAAAUGUCAUCUAACGACACGAGCAUUACACUAAAUUUAUUUAUGUAAGACACUUUCACUGCCUCAACCCAAACCGAAGACGAAACCGAACUCAAACCAAUGUUCUAUACUUUGAGAUACACCCAGAGAACUUUGCAAUAUUUCGAUAUCAUCCAGUCAUAUAAAAUAUUCAAAUGGGACAAACAUCACCGCAAAGACCCGUCCAAAAAGUGAGUCCAUUCGACAAGAGAUGUACUCACAUUUUUGUAGCUUUCAUUAAAUGAGCAACCGUAUACUUGGGUAAUGCAUAAGGUGAUCUAAGCUAAACUGCUGAUCCGUCAAAUACAAAAAAGUUGAAAAUAGAUUUUGCACAUGAACUACAAAGGGAAAAAUACCAAAAACGACAACAUGAUGUUAAGAAUAAUUUAAGAAAUACUUUGGCUAAUAAAAAUUUAAGGCAAGAGAUGAUUAAAACAUAGCAACACCCUACAGAAAACACCAGCAAAACAUACUAUUACUACACAAAAAAUGCGAAACAAUGAGAUUAUGCUUUGAAAAGCUGUGAAACUAGUUUCAGACUUGCCUACAAUUCUAAUACUCGUAUAACUAUUAUGUGAAUGUGAAAAUAGUUGACAAACAAAAAUGGAACAAAAUGGUCAAGCAAAAUGGAAAGACCUAAUCGAUUUAAUCAUGUUUUGAGUAAAAUUAGCGCUGAAUAAUUAAAACAAAUGCUUCCCGAAGGUCAAUAGCUUUGAGAAAGUUCAUGUUAUUUUAACAAGUAUUUUUUGGUUGGAUCUAGUUUUUCGAAUCUCUCAGUGUUGACAGUGUUUUAGUACAAACCAAAUACCGAUUCAAACUCAGUUUGGCAGAAACUUCGUUUGCGUAGGAGAAAUGCUUGAAUUUAUACCUUUCUUAGGAAUAAAUAAAAAAUACAAAAUCGCGUAAACUGAAGUUAAACUCCAUUACCCAUACGUUAUGUGAUUAACUUCAGUAUUGAGCUUACUUGUUGCUUGCCUAUAUAUAUUUUAAUAUAAAACUCAAAUAAACCAAACAAAAAAAUGAAGAAGAAAAUAACGCCACUUUAAUGGCAUUUAUUAAACAGUUGAGUAUUUUUAUAUGUUUUUCAUGAAUGGACCCGUUUGUUAAUUCAAAUCGAUGAGUUGAUCACUGAAUCUUAUAGUUAUCAAUUAGUCACAAUGCAUAUGGUCAAGAGCCCCUAAAACGCAAAAUCUUUAUUACGCUCAGUCUAAAAAUGGUCACCGAUUCGAUUCAAUCAAAUGCAUUAGUUAGAAAUAAAUAAGAAGCUAAACUAACUAAACUCUGGCAAUCUCAAAAACCUUAACAGAAGGACAAAUAAAUGAAAGAAACAGAAAAUGCACAUUCAUAUACAAAAAAAACUAUAUUUCCAGUUGCAAUUAAAGAAACACGGUAACCCAACUGAAUGGUAGACUCUUGAACUCAUUUAGUUUUAAAUAUCGUACUUAACAAAUUUUAGGCAACUUUAAUACGAAACUACUUAAGAACGAACUUGAUAUUAAUUCUAGCUUGUUUACAAAAGGAAAUAAAAUUAUUAACGAGACAAAAUACCAAA
rnacentral:misc_RNA from 1 species